UACGUAGGGAGCAAGCGUUGUCCGGAUUUAUUGGGCGUAAAGCGCUCGUAGGCGGUUUGGAAAGUCAGGUGUGAAACCUCCAGGCUCAACCUGGAGACGCCACUUGAUACUUCUAUGACUUGAGUUUGGUAGGGGAACACGGAAUUCCUGGUGUAGCGGUGAAAUGCGCAGAUAUCAGGAGGAACACCGAUGGCGAAGGCAGUGUUCUGGGCCAAAACUGACGCUGAGGAGCGAAAGCGUGGGGAGCGAACAGG
rnacentral:rRNA from 1 species